rnacentral:rRNA from 1 species
UACGUAGGGGGCAAGCGUUGUCCGGAUUUAUUGGGUGUAAAGAGCGUGUAGGCGGCUAGGUAGGUCCGUUGUGAAAACUCGAGGCUCAACCUCGAGACGUCGAUGGAAACCAUCUAGCUAGAGUCCGGAAGAGGAGAGUGGAAUCCUGGUGUAGCGGUGAAAUGCGCAGAUAUCAGGAGGAACACCGAUGGCGAAGGCAGGUCUCUGGGCAUUAACUGACGCUGAGGAGCGAAAGCAUGGGGAGCGAACAGG